GAUGAAGAACGUAGUGAAAUGCGAUAAUUAAUGUGAAUUGCAGAAUUCAGUGAAUCAUCGAGUCUUUGAACGCACAUUGCGCCCCCUGGUAUUCCGGGGGGCAUGCCUGUCCGAGCGUCAUUGCUGCCCUCAAGCACGGCUUGUGUGUUGGGCUUCCGUCCCUGGCAACGGGGACGGGCCCAAAAGGCAGUGGCGGCACCAUGUCUGGUCCUCGAGCGUAUGGGGCUUUGUCACCCGCUCCCGUAGGUCCAGCUGGCAGCUAGCCUCGCAACCAAUCUUUUUAACCAGGUUGACCUCGGAUCAGGUAGGGAUACCCGCUGAACUUAAGCAUAUCAAUAAACGGAGGA
rnacentral:misc_RNA from 1 species